UACGAAGGGGGCUAGCGUUGUUCGGAAUCACUGGGCGUAAAGGGCGCGUAGGCGGCUUUAUAAGUCGGGGGUGAAAGCCUGUGGCUCAACCACAGAAUUGCCUUCGAUACUGUAGAGCUUGAGACCGGAAGAGGUAAGUGGAACUGCGAGUGUAGAGGUGAAAUUCGUAGAUAUUCGCAAGAACGACCAGUGGCGAAGGCGGCUUACUGGUCCGGUUCUGACGCUGAGGCGCGAAAGCGUGGGGAGCAAACAGG
rnacentral:rRNA from 1 species